UACGUAGGGGGAAAGCGUUGUCCGGAUUUAUUGGGCGUAAAGAGCGUGUAGGCGGCCUGAAAGGUCAGCUGUGAAAACUCGAGGCUCAACCUCGAGACGUCGGUUGAAACCAUCUGGCUAGAGUCCGGAAGAGGAGUGUGGAAUUCCCGGUGUAGUGGUGAAAUGCGCAGAUAUCGGGAAGAACACCCGUGGCGAAGGCGGCACUCUGGGACGGUACUGACGCUGAGACGCGAAAGCGUGGGGAGCGAACAGG
rnacentral:rRNA from 1 species